rnacentral:rRNA from 1 species
GACGAACGCUGGCGGCGUGCUUAACACAUGCAAGUCGCACGAAGUGGCGAACGGGUGAGUAACGCGUACUCAACCUGCCCUUCAGAGGGGUACAACAGUUGGAAACGACUGCUCAUACCGCAUACUGAAGGAGGGGAUUGCGUCUGAUUAGAUAGUUGGAGGGGUAACGGCCCACCAGGGCGAUGAUCAGGAGCAGGACUGAGAGAAUGAACGGCCAAAUUGGGACUGAGACACGGCCCAGACUCAGACGGAAGGCAGCAGUGGGGAAUCUUCCGCAAUGGAGGAAAGUCUGACGGAGCAACGACGCGUGAGUGAUGACGGCCUUCGGGUUGUAAAGCGCUGUUAAUCGGGACGCGGUACCGGAAUAGAAAGCCACGGCUAACUACGUGCCAGCAGCCGCGGUAAUUC